rnacentral:rRNA from 1 species
UACGGGGGGGGCAAGCGUUGUUCGGAAUUACUGGGCGUAAAGGGCUCGUAGGCGGCCAACUAAGUCAGACGUGAAAUCCCUCGGCUUAACCGGGGAACUGCGUCUGAUACUGGAUGGCUUGAGUUUGGGAGAGGGAUGCGGAAUUCCAGGUGUAGCGGUGAAAUGCGUAGAUAUCUGGAGGAACACCGGUGGCGAAGGCGGCAUCCUGGACCAACACUGACGCUGAUGAGCGAAAGCCAGGGGAGCAAAACGGGG